rnacentral:lncRNA from 1 species
UCGGCAGUGAAAGCCAUGGCGGCUGCGGUGGUUGAUCGUCGACAGCGUUGACCGAUGAUCAUGCGAGGUGGCGCACAUGACGGAUGAAGCAGACGAGGGAGCUAGCUAGCGGUCAUUUUUACAGUGCAUCCGGUUUACAGUGCAUCCGGUCGAUAUGGACCGUCCGUCGGAACGAAUUUAACGGUCCAGAUCCAAUGCAAUAC